GCAAGUCACUUAACCCCAAUUGCCUCACUAAAAAAAAAAAAAAAAAAACAACUCUAGAUAUCCCAAUAGAUAUGUCUCAGUAGACAUCCCCCAGUGUUCUCAGUGGUUAUCUCUACACACUCCACAGAAAGAUAUAAAGUCCCAAACAAAGGUUCAACCCCCUGUAAACUCAUCAUGUUUAUCAGGGAACUUCUCUGAUCAAUCUCCUACACCUUUUCUACAUGUAUAGUAUCAGAGCACUACUUUCUCCAUAAUAGAGAAUAAGCUUAAGAUACUGUUGAUAACACCAGGAUUCCAUGCUCCUUGUGACACUUCAUUCAAAAGAGACUAAGUUGGGAAGCUCCAAUGUUAUUUCUCCACAAAAACAAAUCCAGUUCUUAGAACUUAUUUUUAUCUUGUUUUUACCCUGCAUCAACUAUUAAUACAUCUAUCAAGAAGGAUUUUUCAAACCCCUGCUAUGUGCCAGGCAUUGUUCUAGGUACUGGGAAUACAAAGACAAAAAGAAACAGUAUCUGCCUUCAGGGAGCUAACAUUCUAUCUUAAUCCAUGUCCAGUCCUGUGCUAAAUGCUUUAAUGGUGACCAAAGAUAGAAUCCCUGUCCUGCUGGAAUUGACAAAGAUGGUAAAGGACAUAUACUUUGCCCUCGAGGAAUUUAUAAUCUAACAUCCAAGUACAUGAUAUAUGCAUGUAUAACAUCUCAUGCUGCCUGUACAAUUAAGGUAUUUCCCAUCAAUGCCAGGAUGCUCAGGAAAAUCUCAUGAGGUAGUAAAUGAGAUUUUCUGUCUCACUGGGAAGAGAACAUGUAUACAGCAAAUUCCCAGGGAGAAAAGGGAAUGUCCUUGGCAAAAAAAUGCUGGCUUUGUCUCAUCUGUCUUUCUUUCUUCCUUUCUUUUUUCUUUCUUUCUUUCUCUCUCCCUUCCUUUUUUCCUUCUUCCUUCCUUUCUUUAUUCUUUUUUCUUUCUUUCUUUUUUUUUUAGCACAACUCUAAAAUGUCACAGUAACAACUACCAUGGGCUCAGCAAGUUCCAGGAAAAGAUUCGAGUUAGCUAUGGUAAGCUAGGGUACAACAAUCAAAUAAAUCCUUUCAUUGUUUCUGAAAAGGGCAUGCCAAUGAACUCCUCUAUACCUCCACCCAGCAGUUCUAGGACUUCCUGACAGAGAAAAUAUCCUUCCUUGCCUAUAUAGAAAAUACCCUUCCUUACACUUCCUAAUAUGUGUUGUCUUCUUCCCCUAUUAGAAUGUAAGCUCCCUCAGAGCAGGAAUUGUCUUACUUUUGUAUUUAUAUAUCCCAGAAUUUAGCACCAUAUUUGGAUGAUAAUAAGUGCUUAAUAAAUGCUUUAGUUUUA